GAUCAUGGCUCAGGACGAACGCUGGCGGCGUGCUUAACACAUGCAAGUCGAACGCUGAAGCUCAGCUUUUGUUGGGUGGAUGAGUGGCGAACGGGUGAGUAACACGUGAGUAACCUGCCCCCUUCUUUGGGAUAACGCCCGGAAACGGGUGCUAAUACUGGAUAUUCACUGAUCUUCGCAUGGGGGGUUGGUGGAAAGGGUUUUUCUGGUGGGGGAUGGGCUCGCGGCCUAUCAGCUUGUUGGUGGGGUGAUGG
rnacentral:rRNA from 1 species